CUUGGUCAUUUAGAGGAAGUAAAAGUCGUAACAAGGUUUCCGUAGGUGAACCUGCGGAAGGAUCAUUAAUGAAACUUCAAGUCGGCUGUUCUGUGCUGGUGGCAACACAUGUGCACGUUCAGUCGCAAUCCACACACCUGUGCACUUUGACUCUGAGCACCGCCGGUAACACGGCAGAAGGUUUGAGAUGAAGGUCUUAACCUGGUACUCGAGUAGUUUACACACUCUGUAUGUAAUAGAAUGUACCUGUACAAUGUACAACUAUAAACAACUUUCAACAACGGAUCUCUUGGCUCUCGCAUCGAUGAAGAACGCAGCGAAAUGCGAUAAGUAAUGUGAAUUGCAGAAUUCAGUGAAUCAUCGAAUCUUUGAACGCACCUUGCACCCUUUGGUAUUCCGAAGGGUACACCCGUUUGAGUGUCAUUGUAAUCUCACUCCAACACCUUUAUUGAUGUUGGAUGUGGACUUGGAUGUUGUCGUGUUCAACGACUCGUCUUAAAUGCCUGAGUGUACCCUGCUUUGCAGCGUAUCAGUGUGAUAAACAUCUUCACUGUUAAGUCUUUCGGGACACGCUUGUGUUGUAGGCUCUAUGCUUUCCAACCGUCCUCUGGACAAUCUCUGACAAUUUGACCUCAAAUCGGGUGGGACUACCCGCUGAACUUAAGCAUAUCAAUAAGCGGAGGA
rnacentral:rRNA from 1 species